rnacentral:misc_RNA from 1 species
UGGUGGGUACCUUGUGCGU